AACGAACGCUGGCGGCAUGCCUAACACAUGCAAGUCGAACGAGACCUUCGGGUCUAGUGGCGCACGGGUGCGUAACGCGUGGGAACCUGCCCUUAGGUUCGGAAUAACUCCCCGAAAGGGGUGCUAAUACCGGAUAAUGUCUUCGGACCAAAGAUUUAUCGCCUUUGGAUGGGCCCGCGUUGGAUUAGCUAGUUGGUAGGGUAAAAGCCUACCAAGGCGACGAUCCAUAGCUGGUCUGAGAGGAUGAUCAGCCACACUGGGUCUGAGACACGGCCCAGCCUCCUACGGGAGGCAGCAGUGGGGAAUAUUGGACAAUGGGCGAAAGCCUGAUCCAGCAAUGCCGCGUGAGUGAUGAAGGCCUUAGGGUUGUAAAGCUCUUUUACCCGGGAUGAUAAUGACAGUACCGGGAGAAUAAGCUCCGGCUAACUCCGUG
rnacentral:rRNA from 1 species